CGAGAAGAAGAAAGCCAAGGUUGGAAAAGAGAAAUAUGAUGAUGCUUAUGAAAAAGUUAUUGAAGUUGCCGGAACAGAAGAUGGUGUCUACGUUAAUUGUAAGGAUGACCCCAAACUCGACUCGAAUAUAGGACCUGCAAACAGAAAGAACCAAGACGGUCUUGUUUACUUGGAUAUCAAAUUUAAAGAGGACCAAGAAAGUGGGAGAAAUUAUGUAAUCCAUGGCAUUGAAAACAGGACUGAUUAUUCUGAUAUUGAUUUUACAAACCAUAGUGAUCCAUCACCUCAACAGAGUGAGGAAGUCCAGCCAAAAGAGAACAAUAAAAACAACUAAACUUUGCUACAUGGUAUGAUUUCUUAUGUAAGCAAAGUACUGUUGGAAGUUAUUCAUGUUCAUUCUUUUACAUGUAACAAGAACAGACACAAUUCAAAACAAACAGAUGAAAUAUAAUGAUCACACUUGUUUGUGUCAAGAAGAAAUCAUAAGAGAUUAUGGUCUCAAAAUUAGUGAAAAUAUUUUCAUUCCCGAGAAAUAAUCAAUGCAUGUGUGUAUAUAUUGGUGGAAUAUGUAACGAGAAAAAAGUUGGAUUAAUAGUAUAUGAAGGCCACUUGUGGCCUGAGUUGAACAUUUUAGUUCACCUUGCAAAUGACAAUGGACACCUCACCUGUUGUGGUAUGGUGUCCGCCAGGCACCAACUUUUUACUUUUAAACAACUUUUUCUGAAUAUCCAAGAAUCCAAGGGUG